rnacentral:rRNA from 1 species
GAUGAACGCUGGCGGCGUGCCUAAUACAUGCAAGUCGAGCGAACGGACGAGAAGCUUGCUUCUCUGAUGUUAGCGGCGGACGGGUGAGUAACACGUGGAUAACCUACCUAUAAGACUGGGAUAACUUCGGGAAACCGGAGCUAAUACCGGAUGAUAUUUUGAACCGCAUGGUUCAAAAGUGAAAGACGGUCUUGGUGUCUCUUUUAGAUGGUUCCGCGCUGCAUUAGCUAGUUGGUAAGGUAACGGCUUACCAAGGCAACGAUGCAUAGCCGACCUGAGAGGGUGAUCGGCCACACUGGAACUGAGACACGGUCCAGACUCCUACGGGAGGCAGCAGUAGGGAAUCUUCCGCAAUGGGCGAAAGCCUGACGGAGCAACGCCGCGUGAGUGAUGAAGGUCUUCGGAUCGUAAAACUCUGUUAUUAGGGAAGAACAUAUGUGUAAGUAACUGUGCACAUCUUGACGGUACCUAAUCAGAAAGCCACGGCUAACUACGUG